rnacentral:tRNA from 1 species
AGCAGAGUGGCGCUGCGGAAGCGUGCUGGGCCCAUAACCCAGAGGACGACGGAUUGAAACCACCCUCUGCUA